CAGAGUGUAGCUAAACAGUAUAGCAUCUCCCUUACACCGAGAAGACGCCCGUGCAAACCGGGUCACACUGA
rnacentral:tRNA from 1 species